CACUCCAAUAUUCUUGCCUGGAGAAUUCCACGGACAGAGGAGUGUGGAGGACUACAGUCUAUAGGGUUACAGAGUUCAGUCGGACACGACUGAGCGACUAAGCACAGCACAGCACAAGUGCUUCUGCAAGCAUAUUUCAAUUCCACCAAGUUCUUACAUCUCCACUGCCAUCAACCUGGUCCUCCCUAUCUCUUGCCUUUCCUUCUGAGGCCUAACGUCUCCUGUACACCCCUGCUACCUCGAGGAAGCCUACCCACAGUGCCCACGUGCCUGGGCCUUUCCAUCAGUUCUGUCCGGCCAGAGCUCAGCCUCUACCCGGCCUUGUUUAGUACUCCGCUAUGUGUCUUUGCGCAUGUCCCUCUCACCAGAAUCAAAGCCACAGUAGAGCAAGGAGCAAGUCUUGUUCAGGGCCACAAGUGCAGGGUGCAGAACAGCGCGAAGCAACUCCCGAUAAUACACACGAAAUGAGGUGCUGCUAAGGCCAGAGGCGAAUUCUAAUACAAAGCCAAAACACAGAGCUAGACUUGAAUCGGUUUUCACAUCGGGCUAAAAGAAUACGCAAUGACCAGGGUUUGUACUAGAGCCGCAAGGAAGGGCUGUUUAGCUUUUUACCAAGUACAGAGUUUUCUCAGGGUGAAAACCCACGCCCAUGUGCGGAGGGGAAAUUUUUUUUUAAAGACGUAACUGGAUUCAUGAGGAAAAUCUGGCGACUUUCCGAAGCGACACAACUCAGCUGAGCAGGCGAUCACCGCGAGCACGCAACACAAGCUUCGAGCCUCCUGGCGGCGCUGACUCCGCCUUCCGGGUUUCUCUUAGCCUGCGCACGCGCAGUCCGCCCCGACCCGGAGUCUGCGCACUUUCGCGCAUAUGUCCAUCCCAGACGUGCGGGCAGAGGCGUGUGCAAGUUCACCGGUCAGGAGCCGGCGCCUGUCUGAGAGCGGGGACAUGCGCACACGUGCACCCCCGGACGUGCGCGCCCACACGCAGACGCGUGCGCUCCCCGCCCGCUCGCUACCUACGCUGGUCCCGCCUUCCCAGUGCUUAGACGGGUGCGCACCGCCCCUCUGGAGAGCGUGGCGGGUGCCGGGGGAUUCGCGGAGUUCCUGAGAACCGCGACUCCACACCCUUUCCAGGUCACCGUGACUCAGCAUCCUCGACCUCAUCCCACUCCCCAAGGUUUGAUUAGAGAGGCUACCCUCCACAUCCCAGUGUCUGAUCACCCACCGCCCCGGCUGCUCCUUUCCUGAGAAUCCACAUAACUGGAAUUUCGACGUACAAUGUUAAAAUAUUACGGGGAGAUCUGAGAAUUGGUGGGAAAUCUGGAAUAACUGAAGCUGCUGGGAAUCACAGAGGCCAAACUGCUGGAGGUGUACACUAGCGAAUGUUAAAAAGAAGAUGAAACCUUUAAAAAGGUAAUCAUUGGAGGCCUUGCCUCCUUCAUCUUUAGGACCUAAGCUGCUCCUGUGGGUUUCAGGUAGAUGAAAGUAGACAUUGGGGAAGAUAGUGUGGCAGGGGGCAGGUGAACACCCAUAAAAUCUUUGGAAAGAUUGGGAGUUGUAAAUGACAGCUUAGCUCAGAACAACAUCAAGAUGAGGGGAAAUCAGUGGUUCAUGCUGCAGCUGCGGACCGAGUUGGCCUGGCCCCAGGAACUUGGGUGAUGGGAUUCACUCUGCCAUCUCUCUGGAGGUCGUUCUCUUCAUGGUCUGUUCUUUCUGACAGGCAGCUUAACACUACAAAAAAACUUGAGUUUUUCCUACUGGCUUUGGGUCCCUGUUUGGCUGUCUUGGGCUUCCCUGGUGGCUCAGAUGGUAAAGAAUCUGCCUGCAAUGUGGGAGACCCAGGUUCAAUCCCUGGGUUAAGAAGAUCACCUGGAGAAGGGAAUGGCUACCCACUCCAGUAU